AUUGAACGCUGGCGGCAGGCCUAACACAUGCAAGUCGAACGAGUGGCGGACGGGUGAGUAAUGUCUGGGACACUGCUUGAUGGAGGGGGAUACCUACUGGAAAGGGUAGCUAAUCCCGCAUACCAUCGGAUGUGCCCAGAUGGGAUUAGCUAGUAGUUGGGGUAACGGCUAACCUAGGCGACGAUCCCUAGCUGGUCUGAGAGGAUGACCAGCCACACGGGAACUGGGACACGGUCCAGCCUCCGACGGAGGGCGGCGUUGGGGAAUAUUGAACAUUGGGCGAAAGCCUGAUGCGGCCAUGCCGCGUGUAUGAAGAAGGCCUUCGGGUUGUAAAGUAUUUUCAGCGGGGAGGCGUUACCCGCAGAAGAAGCACCGGCUAACUCCGUGCCAGCCGCCGCGGUAAUUC
rnacentral:rRNA from 1 species